ACAUUUCUUUUAGGUUAUUUAAAAAGUAAGGCCUGCCCACUGUAGUAUUAUAAAGGGCCGCGGUAUUUUGACCGUGCAAAGGUAGCAUAAUCAUUAGUCUUUUAAUUGAAGAAUGGAAUGAAUGGCUACAUAAAAUAUAUCUAUUUAUAAAAUAACUAUAAAAAAUUUGAUUUAAAGUGAAAAUACUUUUUUGAUUUUAAUAGACGAUAAGACCCUAUAGAAUUUUAUUUAUUAUCUAUAAUAUUUAAUAAAUUUUAUUGGGGCAUUAAAAGAAUAAUUAAAAUUUCUUUAUAUUUUAUUAUUAAUUUAGUAAUUUUAUCUUAUUUAUAUAAAUUUAAAAAAAUUACCUUAGGGAUAACAGCGUAAUUUUUUUUGAGAGUUCUAAUCGACAAAUUAUUUUGCGACCUCGAUGUUGAAUUAAAGUACCUAAUUGGGGCAGAAUUUUAUUAAGGUAGUCUGUUCGACUAUAAAAUUUUUACAUGAUUUGAGU
rnacentral:rRNA from 1 species